rfam:Glossina pallidipes unplaced genomic scaffold Scaffold425, whole genome shotgun sequence.
AAGAAGGGAAUUCACUAAGAUCCUACUAGCCUCCGCGAAGUAAUGCCUAACUGUGGACCCGCGGAGGAAAAUGGUCGGCGAUGUAUGCGUGAGGAGAGGUUUUAGUACUUAGGCGCCACGGAUGACGAUUCGUGCAUGCUGCGGACCAGUAGUAUCUUUUGAAAAUUUCUAACUACACCUCAC